GGUCGUUCCAUUCAGCAGAUGCACGUGGAAAGGAGGAGGCAGAAAAUGUCGUGGUGCGGCUGCGUGGUCUGGUGACUUGCAAGGCAUGACCGGGAGGACUGGCAAGCCGAAAAGCAAAAUGAAAGGCUGGCAAUCUUGCGAUGCUGCACUGAAGCUCCCACAUCAGACAACCUUGGAGCGAAGGAUUUUGACAGUUCUCAUAUAACCGCGCCAAGAAUGAUGACAAAAAGAUUUCUCAUGAACAGAAGUGGACCACAAUGCAUUAUAAAUGAUGCAACAAAUAAACUUAG